rnacentral:rRNA from 1 species
UACGGAGGGGACUAGCGUUGUUCGGAAUUACUGGGCGUAAAGCGCACGUAGGCGGAUUUGUAAGUCAGGGGUGAAAUCCCGGGGCUCAACCUCGGAACUGCCUUUGAUACUGCAAAUCUCGAGUCCGGAAGAGGUGAGUGGAAUUCCUAGUGUAGAGGUGAAAUUCGUAGAUAUUAGGAAGAACACCAGUGGCGAAGGCGACUUCCUGGCCUGUUCUUGACGCUGAGGCGCGAAAGCUAGGGGAGCAAACGGG